rnacentral:rRNA from 1 species
GAUGAACGCUGGCGGCGUGCCUAAUACAUGCAAGUCGAGCGAACGGACGAGAAGCUUGCUUCUCUGAUGUUAGCGGCGGACGGGUGAGUAACACGUGGAUAACCUACCUAUAAGACUGGGAUAACUUCGGGAAACCGGAGCUAAUACCGGAUGAUAUUUUGAACCGCAUGGUUCAAAAGUGGAAGACGGUCUUGCUGUCACUUAUAGAUGGAUCCGCGCUGCAUUAGCUAGUUGGUAAGGUAACGGCUUACCAAGGCAACGAUGCAUAGCCGACCUGAGAGGGUGAUCGGCCACACUGGACCUGGGACACGCUCCAGACUCCUACGGGAGGCAGCAGUAGGGAAUCUUCCGCAAUGGGCGAAAGCCUGACGGAGCAACGCCGCGUGAGUGAUGAAGGUCUUCGGAUCGUAAAACUCUGUUAUUAGGGAAGAACAUAUGUGUAAGUAACUGUGCACAUCUUGACGGUACCUAAUCAGAAAGCCACGGCUAACUACGUG